AUUAAGCAUAUCAAUAAGCGGAGGAAAAGAAACCAACAGGGAUUGCCCUAGUAACGGCGAGUGAAGCGGCAACAGCUCAAAUUUGAAAUCUGGCUUUCGGGCCCGAGUUGUAAUUUGUAGAGGAUGAUUUUGAUGCGGUGCCUUCCGAGUUCCCUGGAACGGGACGCCAUAGAGGGUGAGAGCCCCGUCUGGUUGGAUGCCAAAUCUCUGUAAAUCUCCUUCGACGAGUCGAGUAGUUUGGGAAUGCUGCUCUAAAUGGGAGGUAUAUGUCUUCUAAAGCUAAAUACCGGCCAGAGACCGAUAGCGCACAAGUAGAGUGAUCGAAAGAUGAAAAGCACUUUGAAAAGAGAGUUAAAAAGUACGUGAAAUUGUUGAAAGGGAAGCGUUUAUGACCAGACUUGGGCUUGGUUAAUCAUCUGGGGUUCUCUCCAGUGCACUUUUCCAGUCCAGGCCAGCAUCAGUUUUCGCCGGGGGAUAAAGGCUUCGGGAAUGUGGCUCCCCUCGGGGAGUGUUAUAGCCCGUUGUGUAAUACCCUGGCGGGGACUGAGGUUCGCGCUUCUGCAAGGAUGCUGGCGUAAUGGUCAUCAACGACCCGUCUUGAAACACGGACCAAGGAGUCGUCUUCGUAUGCGAGUGUUCGGGUGUCAAACCCCUACGCGUAAUGAAAGUGAACGCAGGUGAGAGCUUCGGCGCAUCAUCGACCGAUCCUGAUGUUCUCGGAUGGAUUUGAGUAAGAGCAUACGGGGCCGGACCCGAAAGAAGGUGAACUAUGCCUGUGUAGGGUGAAGCCAGAGGAAACUCUGGUGGAGGCUCGCAGCGGUUCUGACGUGCAAAUCGAUCGUCAAACAUGGGCAUGGGGGCGAAAGACUAAUCGAACCUUCUAGUAGCUGGUUUCCGCCGAAUU
rnacentral:rRNA from 1 species